CGCGCUGUGGGCUGAUGCGAUGGCGCUGCCGGCUACCCUGAACAGGUAUCUUCUGCUCAUGGCACAGGAGCACCUGGAGUUCCGCCUGCCGGAAAUAAAGUCUUUGCUUUCACUUUUUGGAGGUCAGUUCACCAGUAGUCAGGAAACUUAUGGAAUGUCUCCUUUUUGGAUUCUUAGCAUUCCCUCUGAAGAUAUUGCCAGAAACUUAAUGAAACGGACAGUGUGUGCCAAGUCUAUAUUUGAAUUGUGGGGUCAUGGAAAGUCUCCAGAGGAGCUGUAUAGUUCUCUGAAAAACUACCCUGCGGAGAAGAUGGUUCCAUUUCUGCAUUCAGAUUCUACAUAUAAAAUAAAGAUUCACACAUUUAAUAAAACAUUGACACAAGAAGACAAAGUCAAACGGAUAGAUGCACUUGAAUUUCUGCCAUUUGAAGGAAAAGUGAAUUUAAAGAAGCCACAACAUAUAUUCUCUAUUUUGGAGGAUUAUGGUUUAGACCCAAACUGCAUCCCUGAGAAUCCACUUAAUAUUUAUUUUGGUAGAUGGAUUGCAGAUGGGCAGAGAGAGCUAAUUGAGUCAUACAGUGUCAAAAAGAGACACUUCAUUGGAAAUACCAGCAUGGAUGCUGGUUUAUCAUUCAUCAUGGCCAAUCAUGGAAAAGUGAAAGAAAAUGAUAUUGUAUUUGAUCCAUUUGUUGGAACAGGUGGCCUUCUGAUAGCAUCUGCUCAUUUUGGUGCAUAUGUAUAUGGGACAGACAUAGACUACAACACCAUUCAUGGCUUGGGAAAGGCUAGUAGGAAAAACCAGAAAUGGAGAGGACCAGAUGAAAACAUUAGGGCAAAUCUUCGUCAGUAUGGCUUAGAGAAGUAUUACCUUGAUGUCCUUGUUUCGGAUGCAUCUAAACCUUCUUGGAGGAAAGGCACAUAUUUUGAUGCAAUCAUCACUGAUCCUCCAUAUGGUAUUAGAGAAUCUACAAGAAGAACAGGUUCACAGAAGGAAAUACCAAAAGGGAUAGAAAAAUGUCCAGAAAGCCACGUUCCUGUUUCCCUGAGCUAUCAUCUGAGUGAUAUGUUUUUUGACUUGUUAAACUUUGCAGCUGAGACCCUCGUGUUAGGUGGAAGACUAGUCUAUUGGUUACCAGUGUACACACCAGAGUCACUACUCACAUUGACAGCUCUAUUGUUGACAGCCACCAUCAUGAUGACUUUUCUAUUCCAUCAUUCCUUCUGCGUAUGGUACAUCACUAGAUUUGACAAUUUGACAUCUAUAAACCCUGCUGUUUGCAUGCCUAAGGUCAAAACUAUAUCUUCUCUUUGUUACCAUUAUUUAAAUCUGUCAAUUAUGGUGUAGAAUGUAUUCUUUCACAUCAUAAAUGCUUUGUUAUGAAGACUCCAAAUUUUACAUCAACUAAUGUUAUAGGAGCACAACAUUUCUGACUGUAUAGUGAGCAUUAGAGAAUUAUUAGGUGAGAUGAAAUCUGGAGUGGCCAUUACUUGUUGGAAAGCCCUAAGGAAGGAGGCAGAAAGUGACUUCAAGAGAAUUCCUUCCACUGAUAAUGAAGUGCAGUGCAUUAAGAAUGUUGCUUGGUAAGUGGGUGAUGAAAGUUUUGAGCAUGUGGUCAAGGUAAUGAGGGAGAGCUUGUUGAAGGUCACAGGGACCUAGAGAAAUCAGUUAAAGAAUGGUGGGGAAGACACUGUUGAUGCAUUAGAAUGCGCUAGCCAAGAUGGUGGUCCUUUACAGGAAGUGCUGGUCAGCACCUUUCGCAUUUUGGAUCAGAGCUUUAAGAUUUCCCGUAUAAGAAAUGUUUGCAGACUGUUUAUCUAGAAAGUUAUGAAGAUUUGCAAAGGAAAACUAAAAACUGGCAAUCACAAUGUUCUAAAAGGUGCCCAUACCUAGUGAGCCCUCUCUCCCACUGUUGUUCUGAAUUCUGCUCCACAGCUGUUUCCCCCACAUUUGUUACCUGUUUCUUCUACCAAGAUUAACCCAGCAACCUAUCAGAUGUCAGGUUCUGAACUACUGCAGCCUGGCUGUCCUGCUAUCUAGGUGCCAUCGUCUUCAUUCACAAAGUACAUGUGCUGCACAGCAGGAGGCACCACUGCUUCUUAUCAUAACUUUGGUUUCAUUUCAUGGCAAAGGAUUGAUGUCAUCUGUAGUGUUUUAGUGGUAAUUUAUCUGAAUAAUCCCAUAAAAGAAAGUUAAUAGAGGUCUCAAGAUGUCAUUAAAAUUUUGCAGACACAUUUUAUUUUAAAGGGGAAAGUAUAUGCUGUAGUGGACUUUGUUCUUUGGGAAUUUAUAAAAAUCUUCAAUUGAAUCAGUCCCUCAUGAAUGUCAGGGGGCUGUUGUGGAAUGUAUUUCUGUCUGUCUUAUGUGCUCUUGUGGGAUCCUUUAGGGUGGAAUUGUCAUCUUGUAUUUUUGUGGUUUAAAUGCUUGGGAUUCUUCAAUAAAACAUACUUGUAUUCUUUCUCAUUCUCAUUAUACAGGUAAAAAAAAUAAGCUACUUUCUUUGGAUGUGGUAAUUUAAAAUACUUUGCUUUUUAAAAGUUCAGAUUGUUUGUGGAUUAUGUGGACGGUUGGCAUAUGUGAAAUAAAACGGUACAGCAUGUAGUGUGGAGGACACUGAAUAACCCCAAUGACGAUCCUGUGCACGGCGCACAUGUGAGUGUUCCUAACAGUCAGCUGUUCUUUCUUCAGAUACACUGAGGAGAUGGUACCCUGGCACCCUUGCUUGAAACUCAUCAGCAACUGUGAGCAGAAGCUUUCCAGUCACACAUCGAGGCGGUUGAUAACAAUGGAAAAGGUGAAGGAAUUUGAGAACCGGGACCAGUAUUCACAUCUGCUA